UUCCUCCUACGGGACGCAGCAGUGGGGGAUAUUGCACAAUGGGGGGAACCCUGAUGCAGCGACGCCGCGUGGGUGAAGAAGCGCCUCGGCGCGUAAAGCCCUGUCAGCAGGGAAGAAAAUGACGGUACCUGAAGAAGAAGCCCCGGCUAACUACGUGCCAGCAGCCGCGGUAAUACGUAGGGGGCAGGCGUUAUCCGGAUUUACUGGGUGUAAAGGGGGCGCAGACGGCGAUGUAAGCCAGGAGUGAAAGCCCGGGGC
rnacentral:rRNA from 1 species